rnacentral:rRNA from 1 species
CGGACGGGUGAGUAGCGCGUGGGUAACCUGCCUCAUACAGGGGGAUAACAGUUAGAAACGACUGCUAAUACCGCAUAAGCCCACGGGUCGGCAUCGACCAGAGGGAAAAGGAGCAAUCCGCUUUGAGAUGGUCUCGCGUCCGAUUAGCUAGUUGGUGAGGUAAUGGCCCACCAAGGCGACGAUCGGUAGCCGGACUGAGAGGUUGAACGGCCACAUUGGGACUGAGACACGGCCCAGACUCCUACGGGAGGCAGCAUG